UACGAAGGGUGCUAGCGUUGUUCGGAAUCACUGGGCGUAAAGGGCGCGUAGGCGGCGCCGCAAGUCAGGGGUGAAAUCCUGGGGCUUAACCCCAGAAUUGCCUUUGAAACUGCGGUGCUAGAGUGUCGGAGGGGAUAGCGGAAUUCCUAAUGUAGAGGUGAAAUUCGUAGAUAUUAGGAGGAACACCGGUGGCGAAGGCGGCUAUCUGGACGACAACUGACGCUGAGGCGCGAAAGCGCGGGGAUCAAACAGG
rnacentral:rRNA from 1 species